rnacentral:rRNA from 1 species
UACGUAGGGGGCUAGCGUUGUCCGGAAUCAUUGGGCGUAAAGCGCGUGUAGGCGGUCCGGUAAGUCCGCUGUGAAAGUCGGGGGCUCAACCCUCGAAUGCCGGUGGAUACUGUCGGGCUAGAGUGCGGAAGAGGCGAGUGGAAUUCCAGGUGUAGCGGUGAAAUGCGUAGAUAUCUGGAGGAACACCGGUGGCGAAGGCGGCAUCCUGGACCGACACUGACGCUGAGGAGCGAAAGCCAGGGGAGCAAACGGG